UACGUAGGGCGCAAGCGUUGUCCGGAAUCAUUGGGCGUAAAGCGCGCGUAGGCGGCCCGGUAAGUCCGCUGUAAAAGUCCAGGGCUCAACCCUGGAAAGCCGGUGGAUACUGUCGGGCUCGAGUCCGGAAGAGGCGAGUGGAAUUCCUGGUGUAGCGGUGGAAUGCGCAGAUAUCAGGAGGAACACCGAUGGCGAAGGCAGCUCGCUGGGACGGUACUGACGCUGAGGCGCGAAAGCGUGGGGAGCGAACAGG
rnacentral:rRNA from 1 species